GAUGAAGAACGCAGCGAAAUGCGAUACGUAAUGUGAAUUGCAAAAUUCAGUGAAUCAUCGAAUCUUUGAACGCACAUUGCGCCCGCCAGCACUCUGGCGGGCAUGCCUGUUCGAGCGUCAUUUCAACCAUCAAGCCCCAGGCUUGCGUUGGAGCCCUGCGGCUGCCGCAGCCUCCUAAAAGCAGUGGCGGGCUCGCUAUCACACCGAGUGCAGUAGAUUACUCUUCGCUCAGGGCGUGCAGCGGGUUCCGGCCGUGAAACCCCCUACUUUUAAAGGUUGACCUCGGAUCAGGUAGGAAUACCCGCUGAACUUAAGCAUAUCAAUAAGCGGAGGA
rnacentral:misc_RNA from 1 species